rnacentral:rRNA from 2 species
AAUUGAAGAGUUUGAUCAUGGCUCAGAUUGAACGCUGGCGGCAGGCCUAACACAUGCAAGUCGAACGGUAACAGGAAGCAGCUUGCUGCUUUGCUGACGAGUGGCGGACGGGUGAGUAAUGUCUGGGAAACUGCCCGAUGGAGGGGGAUAACUACUGGAAACGGUAGCUAAUACCGCAUAACGUCGCAAGACCAAAGAGGGGGACCUUCGGGCCUCUUGCCAUCGGAUGUGCCCAGAUGGGAUUAGCUAGUAGGUGGGGUAAAGGCUCACCUAGGCGACGAUCCCUAGCUGGUCUGAGAGGAUGACCAGCCACACUGGAACUGAGACACGGUCCAGACUCCUACGGGAGGCAGCAGUGGGGAAUAUUGCACAAUGGGCGCAAGCCUGAUGCAGCCAUGCCGCGUGUAUGAAGAAGGCCUUCGGGUUGUAAAGUACUUUCAGCGGGGAGGAAGGGAGUAAAGUUAAUACCUUUGCUCAUUGACGUUACCCGCAGAAGAAGCACCGGCUAACUCCGUGCCAGCAGCCGCGGUAAUACGGAGGGUGCAAGCGUUAAUCGGAAUUACUGGGCGUAAAGCGCACGCAGGCGGUUUGUUAAGUCAGAUGUGAAAUCCCCGGGCUCAACCUGGGAACUGCAUCUGAUACUGGCAAGCUUGAGUCUCGUAGAGGGGGGUAGAAUUCCAGGUGUAGCGGUGAAAUGCGUAGAGAUCUGGAGGAAUACCGGUGGCGAAGGCGGCCCCCUGGACGAAGACUGACGCUCAGGUGCGAAAGCGUGGGGAGCAAACAGGAUUAGAUACCCUGGUAGUCCACGCCGUAAACGAUGUCGACUUGGAGGUUGUGCCCUUGAGGCGUGGCUUCCGGAGCUAACGCGUUAAGUCGACCGCCUGGGGAGUACGGCCGCAAGGUUAAAACUCAAAUGAAUUGACGGGGGCCCGCACAAGCGGUGGAGCAUGUGGUUUAAUUCGAUGCAACGCGAAGAACCUUACCUGGUCUUGACAUCCACGGAAGUUUUCAGAGAUGAGAAUGUGCCUUCGGGAACCGUGAGACAGGUGCUGCAUGGCUGUCGUCAGCUCGUGUUGUGAAAUGUUGGGUUAAGUCCCGCAACGAGCGCAACCCUUAUCCUUUGUUGCCAGCGGUCCGGCCGGGAACUCAAAGGAGACUGCCAGUGAUAAACUGGAGGAAGGUGGGGAUGACGUCAAGUCAUCAUGGCCCUUACGACCAGGGCUACACACGUGCUACAAUGGCGCAUACAAAGAGAAGCGACCUCGCGAGAGCAAGCGGACCUCAUAAAGUGCGUCGUAGUCCGGAUUGGAGUCUGCAACUCGACUCCAUGAAGUCGGAAUCGCUAGUAAUCGUGGAUCAGAAUGCCACGGUGAAUACGUUCCCGGGCCUUGUACACACCGCCCGUCACACCAUGGGAGUGGGUUGCAAAAGAAGUAGGUAGCUUAACCUUCGGGAGGGCGCUUACCACUUUGUGAUUCAUGACUGGGGUGAAGUCGUAACAAGGUAACCGUAGGGGAACCUGCGGUUGGAUCACCUCCUUA